rnacentral:rRNA from 1 species
UACGGAGGGUGCAAGCGUUGUCCGGAAUCACUGGGCGUAAAGGGCGCGUAGGCGGCUCAUGAAGGCUGUGGUGAAAGUCCGGGGCUCAACCUCGGAUCGGCCGUGGCGACUCGUGGGCUGGAGCACUGUAGAGGCGGGUGGAAUUCCGGGUGUAGCGGUGGAAUGCGCAGAUAUCAGGAGGAACACCGAUGGCGAAGGCAGAUCUCUGGGCCGUAACUG